GACGAACGCUGGCGGCAUGCCUCAUACAUGCAAGUCGAACGAGACGUUGACUUCGGUUAGCGGACGGUGGCGGACGGGUGAGGAAUAUGUCGGAAAUCUGCCUUUAGGUGGGGGACAACAGUGGGAAACUUCUGCUAAUACCCCAUAUCAGCGUAGCUUAAAUGUUGUUUUUGAAAACUUCGGUGCCUAAAGAUGAGCCUGCAUCGGAUUAGCUAGUUGGUAGUGUAAUGGCCUACCAAGGCGACGAUCAGUAGCUGGUCUGAGAGGAUGAUCAGCCACACUGGGACUGAGACACGGCCCAGACUCCUACGGGAGGCAGCAGUAGGGAAUUUUGGACAAUGGGCGAAAGCCUGAUCCAGCAAUGCCGCGUGAGCGAUGAAGGCCUUCGGGGUGUAAAGUUCUGUCAGUCGGGACGAAACUGAACGUACCCGACGGAGAAAGCACCGCCUAACUCGGU
rnacentral:rRNA from 1 species